rnacentral:rRNA from 1 species
CAGCACCUCAAGUGGUCAGGAUGAUUAUUGGGCCUAAAGCAUCCGUAGCCGGCGCUGUAAGUUUUCGGUUAAAUCUGUACGCUCAACGUACAGGCUGCCGGGAAUACUGCAGCGCUAGGGAGUGGGAGAGGUAGACGGUACUCGGUAGGAAGGGUUAAAAUCCUUUGAUCUAUUGAUGACCACCUGUGGCGAAGGCGGUCUACCAGAACACGUCCGACGGUGAGGGAUGAAAGCUGGGGGAGCAAACCGGAUUAGAUACCCGAGUAGUCC